GAUUGGCUGUUUUUCCACAAUGCACAAAAAGAAAAGUAAAAGUAACGAAUGCAAGCAAACUACGAAGUCAAGAGGGCACACACAGAUUCCAAUACGUGAAUAUAUAUUCAAGCUGUCAAAAAGAGCUGUGAAGAUGCAGUGUGUUGUGAGAUACAGUUUUCUAUUGAUCAUCUGUAGCAUCUCAUGGGCAGACUCACCUCAAGCAGUUUUAAUCAGAGCAACUGGGCAGGAUAUCAUCAUCGAGUGCGCUACUGAUAAAAUACCUCAGGAUGGGGUGUACAUGUACAAACAAGGAGCAGCAAGUGAACGACAGGAAAUCUUCUACUGCUACAAGCCAGACAUUGUUACCCAUAAAACAAUGAGUAAAUCCAAAGUCAGUGUAAGUGGAGCACUUCCCAACCUUAACGUCACCCUCUUACAUGUAACUGCCGAAGACAACGGACUUUACUGGUGUGAAUUUAAUAUGGAAGAAAAAACUACUUUGGGCAAGUUCACUUGGUUAUGGAUAAAAAAAUCAGAAGAAGAAAAAAAAGAGUGCCCAGAAGAAGUUCUUCCUCAUGCGAAACACUUACUAAUUUUGUUUGCUGUCAUAUCUUUACUGUGCAUCAUUGGUUUCUUCUGUGUGAUUCUGAAGGUGAAAGGGUGUUGGGGGAACAGGAAAUACACACGAUCAAAUCCACCCUCAGACUUAUAAUGAGAUGAAAUGGAGAAAAUUUGGACACGCCUAAUGUACAGACAUUCACCAAAACUGACUAUCAGUACCAAGCAACUUUGAUAAAUACCUGUGGAUUAAUAAGAAGUUUAAGUUGUGUUACUCUCUAUUUCAAUUAGUAAAGCUUUCAAAGACCCAUUACUUCGUAUUUGAGUUUAUCCAUGUUUAGUGUGUACUAUUUUUCUUUUCUGUAGCCUUCUUAGAGUGUGAGACAUGCUUUUCAUUAAUUGUGAACAUCAGGUGAGGCAUAUAAAGUCAAGAAUUCAAAAUAGUUCAAGUGUGAAGCAUUUUUAAAAAAAAACAUGAUGCAACAGUUCAAUUCAAUUUGUUAAUUGUCGUUUCUUUGUAAUUAUUUGUGACGCUGACAAGCAAUUUCAGAGUGAAAAUUGUUUACAACCCCAAAUUUUGGAUUUGUAAAAUGCAAUAAAAUCAAGAAUCUCUUA